UAUUUAUUUUAUGAAAUCUAGGUGGCAAGCUCUCAUGUGCUGAUGUGUCAAAUUGUGGGAGAGAGUUAGCCUUCUUUCAUAUAUAUGAUUACUGCACAUAGUUGUUACCUAGUGAUAUUUUUUUU
rnacentral:sRNA from 1 species